rnacentral:lncRNA from 1 species
GGAGGAGGAGGGGGAGGAGGAGGAGCGUCUAAACGAGGAGCGAUUAGAAGCUAGACGCUUCGGCCUAUGGUUUCAAGAGCUGAUGGAGUGUGAUUCAGGGUACUCGUCAGCUGACUCGUCAGCUGUCUCGUUAUUGGCGUACCGCGAUUAGUACGAGAUAUACAAAAGGGCGGGGG